GAUGAACGCUAGCUACAGGCUUAACACAUGCAAGUCGAGGGGUAACGAGAGGAAAGCUUGCUUUCCUUGUCGACGACCGGCGCACGGGUGAGUAACGCGUAUCCAACCUGCCCCCAACUAGGGAAUAACCUUGCGAAAGUAAGACUAAUACCCUAUAAUUUCCUCAGAUGACAUCUGACGAGGAAUAAAGAUUUAUCGGUUGUGGAUGGGGAUGCGUCUGAUUAGCUUGUUGGCGGGGUAACGGCCCACCAAGGCAACGAUCAGUAGGGGUUCUGAGAGGAAGGUCCCCCACAUUGGAACUGAGACACGGUCCAAACUCCUACGGGAGGCAGCAGUGAGGAAUAUUGGUCAAUGGGCGGAAGCCUGAACCAGCCAAGUAGCGUGCAGGAUGACGGCCCUAUGGGUUGUAAACUGCUUUUAUACAGGAAUAAAGUUAGCCACGUGUGGUUAUUUGUAGGUACUGUAUGAAUAAGGACCGGCUAAUUCCGUGCCAGCAGCCGCGGUAA
rnacentral:rRNA from 1 species